rnacentral:tRNA from 1 species
GGUUUGUGGCUCAGCGGUAGAGUGCUUGCUUAGUAUGCAUGAGGCACUGGGUUCGAUUCUCGGCACCA